rnacentral:lncRNA from 1 species
AUCCACCUCGGCUCCUGGUUGCAGCAACUGCUGUGGCAGUAUGUGGAGCGAGCACCUCUGGCUCCCAACUUCUCCUGACUGAGCUGGCCACUCGCUUCCUUCUCCUCUGUGCCUCAGGCGCUUGCUGAGACUUCUCUGUUGGACUCUAGUGCUCUCUCCUGGAUGUUCUAUUCGAGCUCUGCCGCACUAAGCUCUCUACAUGGCCGAGGCACCAGACCAGAAUGCGCCCUUUCGACAGGCAGAGAGAGCCAAAGGGGAAAAGAGCUGAGUCAAGGCUGCCAAGUUCCUGCUUCCAGCCCUACCAGCCGGUCACUCGCGCCUUGCAAUGAGGAAACCAGGAGUCCUAUCUAGAGCCUUUCCAUAGUUGUGGGAAAGAAGAUGGGUAAAGUUAUUGUUAAUCUACAGAGGAAG